rnacentral:rRNA from 1 species
GCAAGGUUGAAACUCAAAGGAAUUGACGGGGGCCCGCACAAGCGGUGGAGCAUGUGGCUUAAUUCGAUGCUACGCGAGGAACCUUACCGGGACUUGACAUGCUUUUGACCGUACAGGAAACUGUAUUUUCCCCUCAAGGGACAGAAGCACAGGUGGUGCAUGGCUGUCGUCAGCUCGUGUCGUGAGACGUUGGGUUAAGUCCCGCAACGAGCGCAACCCCUGUAUCCAGUUGCCAGCGGGUAAAGCCGGGGACUCUGGAUAGACUGCCGAUGAUAAAUCGGAGGAAGGUGGGGAUGACGUCAAGUCAUCAUGCCCCUUACGUUCCGGGCUGCACACGUGCUACAAUGGGCGGUAUAGAGGGCUGCGAAGCCGCGAGGCAGAGCCAAUCCCAAAAAACCGUCCUCAGUUCGGAUUGCAGGCUGCAACUCGCCUGCAUGAAUGUCGGAAUCGCUAGUAAUCGCGCAUCAGCAUGGCGCGGUGAAUACGUUCUCGGGCCCUGUACACACCGCCCGUCACAUCAACCGAGCUGGAUGCAACUCGAAGUCGUUUACUCAACC